rnacentral:rRNA from 1 species
AGUGAACGCUGGCGGUAUGCCUAACACAUGCAAGUCGAACGGCAGCACCGUAAGAGCUUGCUCUUACGGGUGUCGAGCGUCGGACGGGUGAGUAAUACAUCGAAAUCCACUCUUUCGUGGGGGAUAACGUAGGGAAAUUUACGCUAAUACAGCAUACGACCUACGGGUGUAAGCAGGGGUUCUUUGGACCUUUCGCUAUGGAAUGAGCCUAUGUCGGAUAAGCUAGUUGGCGGGGUAAAGGCCCACCAAGGCGACGCUGCGUAGCUGGUCUGAGAGGAUGAUCAGACAGACUGGAACUGAGACACGGUCCACACUCCUACGGGAGGCAGCAGUGGGGAAUAUUGGGCAAGGGGCGCAAGCCUGAUCCAGCCCUACCGCGUGGGUGAAGAAGGCCUUCGGGUUGUAAAGCCCUUUUGUUGGGAAAGAAAAGCAGCAGGUUAAUACCCCGCUGUUCUGACGGUACCCAAAGAAUAAGCACCGGCUAACUUCGUG